UAUAGAGUAGAAAUACAAGGUUAUACUAUAGUCCAUAACGUGUUUACGACUGAUGUUAGAUUUCCACCACAGUUUUAUUAGUGACGUCAUAGUGUAUAAGUAGUUGCGUGUUUUGUUUACAUUUUCUAUCGAAUAAAUAAAGAAACAAUCUACAUUGUCAAUUCUACAAUUUGACAAGGUCUUCAUUUUAUUAAAUAAAAGACAUUCAAACCGAUGGAGGAUCUUCCACGUCGUAGUGAAGCAUAUGAAAAUAAGUCUCAGUUUCUACAGAGAAUCAUUUUACCAUAGUGGUCUACAGCGAGGAACUCAAAUCCAUUAGGAAAAUUAAAUGGAAGGCUUAUUAGUUAUUCUGUGUUAACUCUUCAGCCUUGUAAUCAUCAAUUCUAUCAUUCAAUCCAAGAACAAUAUAUUCAAUCCAUAUAUAUUGUAAUUACUUAUAAGUUAUUUGUAUUGACUGUCAUUUGUUAUGGGUAAUUAAUCUCAAGCGAGAUAACUUUACUCCCAAAAAGUUUUCGAGAAUUUGUUCCGAACAUUUUACUCCGGAAUCCUUCAAUCGGACUCUGGACGUUGCAAGGAUGAGAGAAAAUGUUGUGCCUACUUUAUUCAAAGCAUUCCUGCCUCGCCUUCACGAAGAAGUUGCAAAAACUCUUUUGAAAACGCAAGUCUCCUACAAGGAGGUCCUCCUCACCUUCUAAAAAGGCCAAACCAUCUCCUGGACUCGAGAUAGAUCCUUCCCACUUUGAGGCUACGGAAAAUGUGCAAUUGGAUCAUCCCUAUUCUCUCCCAUCAGCUCAAGUCAAGAAGCUCCAAUGGCAAACGAAUAUGAUUUCCGAGCUUGAAGACCGUUCUAAAAAAAUACAGAUGUCAACGGAAUACGAUCUCCAAGAAGUUAGGAAACUUGGUUGACGUUCUAAAAGACCUGAGGUCCAAGAGCAUGUUAUUAGAAGAGUCUUUAUCCAUUCUUGAUACAAUGUCUGACGUUCCUAAAAACCUUUUAAAGGAUGCAAAUCGGAAGUGGUAUAAAGGGAAGUCGCAGUAGCUACUCACCUGAGCUUCGAGCAUUUCCUUUAACAUCGUCAUUCUACUCGACAAAAGCAUAUAGUUAUGUAAGAAAGACCAUGGACUUAUGCCUACCUAGUCUCAGUACCAUUCGAAACUGGUAUUUGAAUGUGGAUAGUGAUCCGGGUUUUACUCAAUCUUCCUUUGAUAUUCUUAAAUCGAAGGCCAAUAAAACUCCCGAAUCUAAAGAAGAAAUUUUUGUCAAGUUGACAUUGGGCGAAAUGUCAGUUUUCAAAAAAAAAUCAAUGGGAUGGGAAAAGAUUUGGUGGAUAUGUUAGAUAACCAUAUCCUUAAAUUACAAAAACAUAUUAUCUUGACAUAUUCUAAAAUUAGGCUUCAUCAUGAAGACAAUCUCAUCUCUGAGAAUUUUAAAAAAGAAUAUAGACGAAAAUCUCAUUCGAAACAGAUUCUUUUUAAGAAUCAAUGAUUCAAAGGUACCUAAGAUGGCUGCCGACAGCUCACGGUUGACUCUCCUUUUAUUUGCCUAUUGGGUAUCCAGUUAUUAAUUAUAUAAGUAGGUGGUAUAUCAAUUCAGUAUACAACAUAAGCGAGCAAAAAAAAAAAACAUUAAUCACGACGAAAAACCAGCUGAUAAAAUAUUAUCUGGUUAAAAAUUAGUAAAUAGUUGAGGCAACAACUAAAAUCGAAGACAUGCAUUACAUAUAAUUAGAAUUAUAUAGGAACGAAAAAAACAGGAGCACUAAACGAAAGUAUCGUAAAAAUGAUGUAAAAGUAAACAUAUAGAAAUAACAUAAAAGAAAGGGAUGUUGCCCCAGAGACGAAAUUUCUAUUUAAAAGUUUUAAUGGAGUCAUUCCAAAAA
rnacentral:lncRNA from 1 species